UGUUGAGUAGGGGGGCGUGGGGCUCGUUGUGCAUUCUGUGGCGCAAGCCGGGAUGAAACGGGCUCUAGUGCAGAUCUUGGUAGCAGUAGCAAAUAUUCAAAUGAGAACUUUGAAGACUGAAGUGGAGAAAGGUUCCAUGUGAACAGUAAUUGGACAUGGGUGAGUCGAUCCUAAGAGAUAGGAAAAUUCUUUUUGAAAGCGGUCCUUCCUCGGAUGGACCCGGCUAUCGAAAGGGAAUCGGGUUAAUAUUCCCGAACCAGAACGUGGAUAUUGAGUGGUAACACAAACGAAAUUGGGGAUGCUGGCGAGAGCCCCGGGAAGAGUUCUCUUUUCUUUUUAACAGUUCGGUAGACCUUGGAAUCGGAU
rnacentral:rRNA from 1 species